rnacentral:rRNA from 1 species
AUUGAACGCUGGCGGCAGGCUUAACACAUGCAAGUCGAGCGGAGAGAGGUAGCUUGCUACUGAUCUUAGCGGCGGACGGGUGAGUAAUGCUUAGGAAUCUGCCUAUUAGUGGGGGACAACAUUUCGAAAGGAAUGCUAAUACCGCAUACGUCCUACGGGAGAAAGCAGGGGAUCUUCGGACCUUGCGCUAAUAGAUGAGCCUAAGUCGGAUUAGCUAGUUGGUGGGGUAAAGGCCUACCAAGGCGACGAUCUGUAGCGGGUCUGAGAGGAUGAUCCGCCACACUGGGACUGAGACACGGCCCAGACUCCUACGGGAGGCAGGAGUGGGGAAUAUUGGACGAUGGGCGCAAGCCUGAUCCAGCCAUGUCGCGUGUGUGAAGAAGGCCUUAUGGUUGUAAAGCACUUUAAGCGAGGAGGAGGCUACUUUAGUUAAUACCUAGAGAUAGUGGACGUUACUCGCAGAAUAAGCACCGGCUAACUCUGUGCCAGCCGCCGCCGUAA